GACGAACGCUGGCGGCGUGCUUAACACAUGCAAGUCGAACGGAAAGGCCCCUUUGUGGGUCCUCGAGUGGCGAACGGGGGAGUAACACGUGAGUAACCUGCCCUUGACUUCGGGAUAACUUCAGGAAACUGGGGCCAAUACCGGUAAGGAAUCCUUUCUUCAUGGUGGGGGUUGGAAAGCUUCGGCGGUUUUGGAUGGACUCGCGGCUUAUCAGCUUGUUGGUGGGGUAGUGGCUUACCAAGGCUUUGUCGGGUAGCCGGCCUGAGAGGGCGACCGGCCACAUUGGGACUGAGAUACGGCCCAGACUCCGACGGGAGGCAGCAGUGGGGAAUAUUGCACAAUGGGCGGAAGCCUGAUGCAGCAACGCCGCGUGCGGGAUGACGGCCUUCGGGUUGUAAACCGCUUUCAGCAGGGGCGAAGCUUGUGGUGACGGUACCUGCAGAAGAAGCACCGGCUAACUACGUG
rnacentral:rRNA from 1 species